GAUGAACGCUGGCGGCGUGCUUAACACAUGCAAGUCGAACGAUGAAGCCCAGCUUGCUGGGCGGAUUAGUGGCGAACGGGUGAGUAACACGUGAGUAACCUGCCCUUGACUCUGGGAUAAGCCCGGGAAACUGGGUCUAAUACCGGAUAGGAGCGCCUGUCGCAUGACGGGUGCUGGAAAGAUCUUUCGGUCAUGGAUGGACUCGCGGCCUAUCAGCUUGUUGGUGAGGUAACGGCACCCCAAGGCGACGACGGGUAGCCGGCCUGGGAGGGUGACCGGCCCCACUGGGCAUAGGACACGGCCCAAACCCCUACGGGGGGCAGCGGUGGGGAAAAUUGCCAAAGGGGGCAAAGCCUGAUGCAGCGACCCCGGGGGGGGGAUGACGGCCUUCGGUUUGUAACCCUCUUUCAGCAGGGAAGAAGCGAAAGUGACGUAACCUGCAAAAGAAGCCCCGGCUAAUUACGG
rnacentral:rRNA from 1 species